AUCAGGGUUGACAGUUUAACCCUGAGUCAUCCUAAACACAGGGGUCAAAAGGAUGAAUUAUACAGUAACCAUAUUCAUGUAGGUUCUGAGUGUUGUGAUUGCGACUAUUCGAUCUAUCCGAAUAUUGGGUACCAUUGCUAGAUGGUCACUUCGAUUAGUACAGAAAUUGGUUUCUGUGCUAUCGGCUUAGGUUCGAACCUAUGGGGUCACACACAUUAGAGGUUCCUAUCUGAUCUGAUGACUGGUGUAGAAUCCUACAUGUUUGGGACUCAGUGAUCAAGAAUCAGAAUUCUCUGAUCACGAGUUCCACACAUUAUGGGUAUCGGGGUCAAGAGUCCCACUGGUUGGGACUUUUCGAUCAGGGUUACAUAUCGAUGAAUUCUGAU
rnacentral:lncRNA from 1 species